UCAAGGGAUGUGACUAAUAUCACUAACAAUGCUAACAAAAAUAGGCUUCAUCUCUGACUGGAGGGGAAUGGCUGGGUCUUCUCUCUUUCCAAGGCAGGUUAACUCAAAUCCCUACUCCAACCAUGCAUUCUCUGUGGAGCCCCCAACCUUCCCUUGCUGCAGGAGCCUUGCUGUCUGCCAUCUAAAGACCUAACAUGAUGCCAUCCCUGGACGGCUCCUGCUUCCACAGCAUCUACCCUAGAUUUCUUCUCAAGACUUAUUAUUGCUGUUUCUGGGACUCAACUUGCCACCCCAUUAUCCUUCCUUCCAUCAAAAUGUCACUGCCCUCAAUGAGUGGGAAAAAUUCCCUUCUAUGCUCCCAGAUAGGGUGUCCUGUUUUGGAGUAUGGAUUUGCCCUUUUGAACCACAGGACCUUGCCAAGCAGACUAUCUGAAGGCUUAUAUGUAUUUGUUCCUCUGACAGGGGAUACUGCAGGACAUCCCUUCGGAACAAAGGACCCACUUUACAGCAGCUGCAGGCCUGAUAGAGCAACGGAGCAGCCUUGGGGAGGCACUGCUGAGGCACCACCUUGGAGAUGAUGCUCAGUGAGAAGGAUCAACAAGACUGUGACUUUCUCAAAAGCUUCCUGAGGACAGGAAGAAGCACCUUCAGAGAAGGAGCCUUAUGAAGUUUCCAACUCAUGAAAGGGUGUUAUUGACAGUCACAGUAAGACGUUUGGAAUCCACAUGUAAACUCUGUG